rnacentral:ncRNA from 19 species
UGUCCCAUACGCGACUGGCGCCCGAGAGAUGGUCCACCAUCGGGAAGCGGCAAAAAAUUCAUCGUCCGAUCGCGCGCCUGGGCCGGACGG